rnacentral:lncRNA from 1 species
UGUAGGUCUCUUGCUGCCUUUGGUAGCCUCAAAAUCAUCCCUUUUCCCAGAGCUGGCUCUCACCCCUGUUCCAAGAUUCUGAUCCCCAUUCUCUUUCUCUCUCUCUCCCCUCCUUUCCAAGGUAGGAGCACAGGAUGAAGCAUAGCAUGUCGGGCCCUAAAGCCCCAGCUCCUUGCCUCUGUCUCACUCCAGCAGCACAGGAUUUUCCUGUAAGGCACAUUUCCCUGUCCUCUGACAGCCCUCUAAAUUAUUGAUCAGGCCGAUUCAGUGCAAGAGUCUGAAACAUGUGUGAGAGAGAGAAGAUUGUCAAAGUUGUCUAGCUUGGGGAAGCAGUAUUUUUAGUACAGAGGCUCACUUUGGCGCCAGCUGGUUUAUGCUGUUUCCAGAGCAUCAUUCGUUAUACACUUAAUCCAUGCUUAUCAUACCUCCUUUUAAUGUAAAUAUGUGUUUGGCAGAGGCGAAAUGAAAAGAUUUCACUCUCUGCAUUAUUUUUAUUAGCACCCACCUUUCAUCAAAGCUGAUCGCUCUGCAAAAUGGCAAAUUUGUAAACAGCAAGUGAUUUAGAGAAGUUGGAAGGGAAACUAGGAGGGAAAGGAUGAAGGAAGUGUGUGUGUGCCUGGGGAGAGUGCCUCUCACACAUCUGCGAAGGUUCUCUCUCUCUCCCCCCCUCUCUCUCUGUCAGGAAAAGGAACUAAUUGUGGUUUCCUAAUUUCAAACCAAUCUGCAUCUUCAAUGCUCUCUUUGUGUUUUACCCAAUUACUUAAAAAAAAAUCAGGAUAAUGCAAUGGACAUUUCUUAGUCCAGCAGAAAUGAAUUCACUUAGGAAGAGGCCAGGGAUUUUCUUUUUCCCUCUCAUUUUAUCUGACCCAGAUCUGCAAGAGGCAGGGGCAGAACUCACUUCAGCUUCGGGCACCGGUGACCACUACAAAUCUUUCUUCCUUCACCUUCCUCUUUCCAGAGACAGGAGCCACAGAAAGAAGCUCUGACUUGACUGCUGACUUUUGAGAACGCCUGUGAAGGAGACAGGUAGGUCUCAGCCUUUAGCUGUUACUGCCAAGCUCCCCAUGUAUGGAGGAGACUCUUUUGGGGAACCUCAUCUCUCAGACCUUUUGCCCCCAGCCCACCCACCAGAAAUAACAGGCUGGGCUUCUUUGAUGCAGUUACAUUUUGGGUGGUUUGUUUCAGAGCCUUGAGUAACAAACCCAUCAGAGUGGAUACUGGAGGUGUUUCUGGUUUCAGAAAUCCUGAUUUUUCUGGCCUUUUGAUCUAAAUGCUGAUGCCUCAUGCUCUUGAUCCAGUUGGCUGGAGACACUUGUAAGCUGUGUCCUUUCACCUCUAAGAGUUUCAAAUCCCCUGAAUGGAUGAAUAGCAGCCAUGGAAGUCCUUCA